CAAUUGCUAAUUACAUUGUAUAAUGUAAUAUCGACUUUGUUGAAUAAAGUUCUGGGUGGAAUUUGAUAAUGACAUUUUCUAUCUAUGUGUCUUGACCAAAUUACGUGCCAGCAGUCGCGGUAAUACGUAGAAGACUAGUGUUAUUCAUAUUAAAAAGGUUUAAAGGGUACCUAGACGGUAGAUCAAGCCCUAGACGGGACUAAUCUUCUAGAGUUACUUACGAUGAGGCUAUAAAGUACUAGUGGUGUAAAGAUAAAAUUUUGUAAUACCAUUUUUCGAAAGAAAAAAAAUGGCACUGGUAAAGGCGAAAGCAUCCUCUUAUGUGAUAACUGACGUUGAGGGACGAAGGCUUUGAAUAGCGAAUAGGAUUAGAUACCCUAGUAGUCGAAGGAGAAAAUGAUGAGUGUCAUAGGUUGGAAAUUUUUAACCUAUAAAUGAAAGUGUAAGCACUCCACCUUAAGAGUAAGAUGGCAACAUAGGAACUGAAAUCAUUAGACCGUUUCUGAA
rnacentral:rRNA from 1 species